rnacentral:lncRNA from 1 species
AUAUAUAUAUAUAUAUAUAUAUAUAUAUAUAUAUAGUUGAGUUAGAAUACUUUCAAAAGUAUUAUAAAGGUGGUGCUUUUGAGUUUUAACUAUUGGAUGGAAAAAUACAGAGUUGAGAUGAUGGUAGUAAGUGGAAUAGUGUUUGAUCCAAAGACUAUUAAUAAUUAAGGGGUAGAUCCAAAAACUAGAAACUUAGAAGCACCAAAUAUACAUAUAGUUGAGCUAUAUAUAAUACUUUCAAAAACACCAAAGAGUUGGUACUUUUAAAUUUUUAACCUUUUGCUGAAGAAAUGUAGGAUUAGGAUGAUGAUGGUAGGUGGUAGUAGGUGGAAUAGUGUUUAAUCCAAAGAUUAUUAAUAAUCAAGAAGUAGAUUCAAGGGCUAAAAAUUUAGAAGCACCAAAGAGAUGGUGCUUCUAAAAAUAUUUUAGCUCAAUUUAUAUAUAUAUAUAUAUAUAUAGAGAGAGAGAGAGAGAGAGAGAGAGAGAGAGAGAGAGAGAGAGAGAGAGAGAGAGAGAGAGAGAGUUGAGCUAGAAUACUAUCGAUAGCAAAAUGGGCUCCGUUACCACCCUUUUUUUUUUCGAUGAUGAGUCUCUUCAAAUCAACAAUCGGAAUCGUUAAAUAUGAUCUAUACCACUUGAUGUAUCUAGAAACCAAAUUUCAAAUUUUUUCAACAUUAUUAAUCUAAUGAUCAAAGGGUUUCAAAAUUUAUAAUUUUAAUGGUCGAUAUGAAAUAUUUUCUCGUUUAACAGUGUAAAGAUAUUCAAAUCAAUUGAAUUUUGAUUAGAAAAUUUUUUAAACUAUUUAGAACAAGAUCUAUCAUUUAGAAAUAAACAUAGCUGAAAUUUUUAUGAAACAAUCAUUUAUCUUUCAAAUUUGAAACUAUGUAUUUAUAUAUUUUAUAUUCAAUAUUUCUUUUACGUCUGAAUUUGAAAACUUUUAAAUAAAUUCAAGUUUAAAUACUAAUUAAUUCAUAUUUUCAACUAAAUUUAUUUAUAAAAUAAAAUAAAAUAAACGACGACUCCA